UAUCUUUCGUUUUGUCCAGACGGCUAUCUAGUUCUCCUGUCUCUAACGUCCCAUAAUGGUUGGGUGACGGCAGUCAGGUGGUCUCCAUCUCACGAGCAUCAGCUGGUGUCAGGAUCUCUAGAUAAUGUGGUCAAACUGUGGGACACAAGGAGCUGUAAAGCUCCACUGUAUGAUCUUGCUGCCCAUGAAGACAAAGUAAUGUGCGUUGACUGGACAGAGAAUGGGCUGAUUUUGAGUGGAGGAGCAGAUAACAAACUCUACACAUACAGAUACUCGGCAUGUGUCUCGGAUGCAGGAGCGUAGAACAGUCUUCUCUGGUGCCUGUUGUCAUUUUACUUUGGAAACGUCGUGGGAACAUAAGCAACAUCAACUUUUACUUUAUAGACCAGCUACAAACAUACAACAAAGCCUUACGAGAGACAAACACAUAGUUCAUGAACAAAUUUCUGU